CCUACGGGGGGCUGCAGUGGGGAAUAUUGGGCAAUGGGCGCAAGCCUGACCCAGCAACGCCGCGUGAAGGAAGAAGGCUUUCGGGUUGUAAACUUCUUUUAAGGGGGAAGAGCAGAAGACGGUACCCCUUGAAUAAGCCACGGCUAACUACGUGCCAGCAGCCGCGGUAAUACGUAGGUGGCAAGCGUUGUCCGGAUUUAAUGGGUGUAAAGGGCGUGCAGCCGGAGAGACAAGUCAGGUGUGAAAUCCACGGGCUCUACCCGUGAACUGCAUUUGAAACUGUUUCCCUUGAGUGUCGGAGAGGUAAUCGGAAUUCCUUGUGUAGCGGUGAAAUGCGUAGAUAUAAGGAAGAACACCAGUGGCGAAGGCGGAUUACUGGACGAUAACUGACGGUGAGGCGCGAAAGCGUGGGGAGCAAACAGGAUUAGAUACCCUUGUAGUC
rnacentral:rRNA from 1 species